CAUUGAACUUGGAGGUCUAAUUUGUUUUUUGACGGUGGAGGUCUAAUUUGUUCAGAAAAUGCAAUAGCAAAACUCUAAUGACAUCGAUGUACAGGCCAUACCAAGACUUGAUGAAGUCAAGGUGCGCAAAUGGGUGGAUCCGAGGCUUGGAGGAGAUUACCCGCCCAAGGCUUUAACCAAGAUGGCUGCAGUCGCGAGACACUGUGUAGAGUGGGAACCGGAACACCGGCCAAACAUAAACAAGGUCGUCGAGGCUCUGAAGCCGUUGCUGCUCUAGCAGCUCAAGCAAUCUUCCUGCGCUGCUGAAGCAUCUAAAAAUUCCGGAGUGUAAGGCAUCGUCUUUUGUAGCAGUGGAAUAGCACAUGGUAUUACUUUUUUUGUCAGAAUACGGAAUGAUGAAUUCAAAGAUCUUGUACAAUUUUUCAAGCACGUCGGCAGCAUAUACUGUGUAUUUUUACAACCGGACACAAGAGAUGAUGAAAUUCCCCAGCACCCAGGUGCCACCUUUC